GCUUUUGGCAACGGUUACUAAGCAACUCUCUUUUAAUAGAAAGGGCACACCGCUUAAGCGUUGCCAAAUCAUAGGACAUAGGGGAACACUUACUGACAUAUACUAGUACGCUUUACAAGUAUUGUCCUUUGUAUUCCUAAAAUAUUCACCCAAAUUUUUCCCUCUUAAACUUUCCCACCCAUAGACCAUAGUUGAGAAAAAAACCUUUCCCACCCAUAGCAGCAUUUUUUGCUCAACCUUUUGAUUUCCCUCUUAAAACUUAAAAAAUAAGAAUUCCACCCAUAGCAGUUUUGUAAAACAUACGUCCGUAGGAAUCCCAAAAUGAUCUAUUAGCAAAUUUCUCACUUGAAGGGUUAGGGCUUACUACCAUUAUUUGAAAUGUGGUUGCACGUUAUUAUUGACAGACCCAAAUUAACCUAUUAAUUAAUGAUGGCUCGUUGAUAAAAUUAUUAGAGUUAGGGCUCCAUCAAAGAGUUAGGGCUUAAAACCGAAGCGCACAAAUCAAGCAUUCAAGUUUGCUAUUCAGUAAGCUGCGGUGAGGGGAAGGAGUGAGAUUGACACAUGUAUUCGGACAAAUCUGACACUUUUUUAUUCACUUAAAGCAACAGACUUUUGUUGUUUAGAAACUUAGGAACUUUUUGGCGAUGAUCUGAAAAUGGUGGCGAGAAGUCAAUUUCUUAUGUUUGAAGUUAUUGAUCAAGACAAUUGGACAAUUGUGAUGUUUAUUAGCCAUGAUACUAAAUGAAUAUGUUCAGUUUUGUAAACCAUAUUGCUAGAAUGCACCUUGAAGUAUUUGGCUUUGUUAGUUCAUGCAGUACACAAAAUAUUUGUUUUUCGAGGUUCAUUCCAAUAUAUUUGAAUUUUUUUCUUAUUUA